UUAAGCGACUAAGCGUACACGGUGGAUGCCCUGGCAGUCAGAGGCGAUGAAGGACGUGCUAAUCUGCGAAAAGCGCCGGCGAGGUGAUAUGAACCUUUGACCCGGCGAUGUCCGAAUGGGGAAACCCAGUGCAAUUCGUUGCACUAUCGUUAACUGAAUACAUAGGUUAACGAGGCGAACCGGGGGAACUGAAACAUCUAAGUACCCCGAGGAAAAGAAAUCAACCGAGAUUCCCCCAGUAGCGGCGAGCGAACGGGGAGCAGCCCGGAGUCUGAAUCAGCUUGUGUGUUAGUGGAAGCGUCUGGAAAGUCGCACGGUACAGGGUGACAGUCCCGUACACGAAAGCACACUUGCUGUGAACUCGAAGAGUAGGGCGGGACACGUGGUAUCCUGUCUGAAUAUGGGGGGACCAUCCUCCAAGGCUAAAUACUCCUGACUGACCGAUAGUGAACCAGUACCGUGAGGGAAAGGCGAAAAGAACCCCGGCGAGGGGAGUGAAAAAGAACCUGAAACCGUGUACGUACAAGCAGUGGGAGCACCUUCGGGUGUGACUGCGUACCUUUUGUAUAAUGGGUCAGCGACUUAUAUUCUGUAGCAAGGUUAACCGUAUAGGGGAGCCGAAGGGAAACCGAGUCUUAACUGGGCGUUAAGUUGCAGGGUAUAGACCCGAAACCCGGUGAUCUAGCCAUGGGCAGGUUGAAGGUUGGGUAACACUAACUGGAGGACCGAACCGACUAAUGUUGAAAAAUUAGCGGAUGACCUGUGGCUGGGGGUGAAAGGCCAAUCAAACCGGGAGAUAGCUGGUUCUCCCCGAAAGCUAUUUAGGUAGCGCCUCGUGAACUCAUCUUCGGGGGUAGAGCACUGUUUCGGCUAGGGGGCCAUCCCGGCUUACCAACCCGAUGCAAACUACGAAUACCGAAGAAUGUUAUCACGGGAGACACACGGCGGGUGCUAACGUCCGUCGUGAAGAGGGAAACAACCCAGACCGCCAGCUAAGGUCCCAAAGUCAUGGUUAAGUGGGAAACGAUGUGGGAAGGCACAGACAGCCAGGAUGUUGGCUUAGAAGCAGCCAUCAUUUAAAGAAAGCGUAAUAGCUCACUGGUCGAGUCGGCCUGCGCGGAAGAUGUAACGGGGCUAAACCAUGCACCGAAGCUGCGGCAGCGACACUAUGUGUUGUUGGGUAGGGGAGCGUUCUGUAAGCCGUUGAAGGUGUGCUGUGAGGCAUGCUGGAGGUAUCAGAAGUGCGAAUGCUGACAUAAGUAACGAUAAAGCGGGUGAAAAGCCCGCUCGCCGGAAGACCAAGGGUUCCUGUCCAACGUUAAUCGGGGCAGGGUGAGUCGACCCCUAAGGCGAGGCCGAAAGGCGUAGUCGAUGGGAAACAGGUUAAUAUUCCUGUACUUGGUGUUACUGCGAAGGGGGGACGGAGAAGGCUAUGUCAGCCGGGCGACGGUUGUCCCGGUUUAAGCGUGUAGGUGUGUGUUCCAGGCAAAUCCGGUUCACUUUAACACUGAGGCGUGAUGACGAGGCACUACGGUGCUGAAGUGAUAAAUGCCCUGCUUCCAGGAAAAGCCUCUAAGCAUCAGGUAACACGAAAUCGUACCCCAAACCGACACAGGUGGUCAGGUAGAGAAUACCAAGGCGCUUGAGAGAACUCGGGUGAAGGAACUAGGCAAAAUGGUGCCGUAACUUCGGGAGAAGGCACGCUGAUAUGUAGGUGAAGCCCCUGCGGGUGGAGCUGAAAUCAGUCGAAGAUACCAGCUGGCUGCAACUGUUUAUUAAAAACACAGCACUGUGCAAACACGAAAGUGGACGUAUACGGUGUGACGCCUGCCCGGUGCCGGAAGGUUAAUUGAUGGGGUUAGCGGCAACGCGAAGCUCUUGAUCGAAGCCCCGGUAAACGGCGGCCGUAACUAUAACGGUCCUAAGGUAGCGAAAUUCCUUGUCGGGUAAGUUCCGACCUGCACGAAUGGCGUAAUGAUGGCCAGGCUGUCUCCACCCGAGACUCAGUGAAAUUGAACUCGCUGUGAAGAUGCAGUGUACCCGCGGCAAGACGGAAAGACCCCGUGAACCUUUACUAUAGCUUGACACUGAACACUGGUCCUUGAUGUGUAGGAUAGGUGGGAGGCUUUGAAGCGUGGACGCCAGUCUGCGUGGAGCCGUCCUUGAAAUACCACCCUUUAAUGGCUGGUGUUCUAACGUGGACCCGUAAUCCGGGUUGCGGACAGUGUCUGGUGGGUAGUUUGACUGGGGCGGUCUCCUCCCAAAGAGUAACGGAGGAGCACGAAGGUUAGCUAAUCCUGGUCGGACAUCAGGAGGUUAGUGCAAUGGCAUAAGCUAGCUUGACUGCGAGAGUGACGGCUCGAGCAGGUGCGAAAGCAGGUCAUAGUGAUCCGGUGGUUCUGAAUGGAAGGGCCAUCGCUCAACGGAUAAAAGGUACUCCGGGGAUAACAGGCUGAUACCGCCCAAGAGUUCAUAUCGACGGCGGUGUUUGGCACCUCGAUGUCGGCUCAUCACAUCCUGGGGCUGAAGUAGGUCCCAAGGGUAUGGCUGUUCGCCAUUUAAAGUGGUACGCGAGCUGGGUUUAGAACGUCGUGAGACAGUUCGGUCCCUAUCUGCCGUGGGCGCUGGAGAAUUGAGGGGGGCUGCUCCUAGUACGAGAGGACCGGAGUGGACGCAUCACUGGUGUUCGGGUUGUCAUGCCAAUGGCACUGCCCGGUAGCUAAAUGCGGAAGAGAUAAGUGCUGAAAGCAUCUAAGCACGAAACUUGCCCCGAGAUGAGUUCUCCCUGAGACUAUAAGUCUCCUGAAGGAACGUUGAAGACGACGACGUUGAUAGGCCGGGUGUGUAAGCGCAGCGAUGCGUUGAGCUAACCGGUACUAAUGAACCGUGAGGCUUAACCUU
rnacentral:rRNA from 1 species